AUACAUAUAUAUAUAUGAAUUUAUUAAGCCAUUUCACACUGGAAUAGUGACAUCAGCUGCUUCACACCCUAGAGGCUGCAAACCUAAAGGAUGCUCACUCCUUGAGGCUGGGUGACUUGACACCUGGAAGGUUCCUAGGGAUAUGCCGGUCCUUAGUGACAGUUGCCUGGAGAUGCUGGUCCUUAGUUAUGGCAGCAUGGAGAUGCUGGUUGUAAUGUCAGUGAAGGAAUCGGCAGCAGUGGUGGCGGCGGUGGCGGCAGCAGCAGCAGCAAGAGAAAUCAACUCCUUUCAAGAGAAAAGGCCAAGCAACCAAAGGUUGAACAAUCUUCCUCUUGCUGUGCCCUUUUUGAAUCUGGAGUGCUACCAGAAGCUCCAUGCAUAUUUGGGGUGGGACUUCCACAUCUGCUAAAGUAAUAAGGACUAUUUCUCAGGUGAGGCUCCCUACUCAAGUGAUUCUAAUUUGUGGCAGGUUGAUAUUAAAACUGACCAUCACAGAGAGAAGAGACAGCUCGCAGUUUGUGUCUUCUAUCAAGACAGGUGAGACAGAUAACUCAUUGCCAAACUGAGGUAUUCCAAGGGGAGCAUAGAGGUUGAGGGGCACAUUGGAUAGUACUAGGGUACAACUAGACAAAUCUUUUUUUUUUCCUUCGGAGCUGGGGACCGAAUCCAGGGCCUUGUGCUCCCUAGGCAAGGGCUUUACCGCUGAGCUAAAUCCCCAACCCCACAACUAGACAAAUCUUGAUCAUGUGAAGAGACUAGCUUUAAGAUGCUGUGUGAAGACAAGGAACAAUGGACGGAAUAGACAAGUAGUUCCUUGGCAGAGAGUUUGGACAAAAACCUAGAAGUAAGAAAUAAAUCAUGGGGCUGGAGAGAUGUCUCAGUGAUCCUGAGUUCAAAUCCUAGCAACCACAUGGUGGCUCACAGCCAUCUGUAAUGAGAUCUCAUGCCCUCUUCUGGUGUGUCCGAAGACAGCUACAGUGUACUGACAUAUAAUAAAUAAAUAAAUCUUUUUUAAAAAUUAAAAGAAAUCAUGGCCAGGCAGUGGUAUCACAUGCUUUUAAUCCCAGCACUUAGGAGGCAAAGGCAGGCAAAUCUUUGUGUGUUUUGGAGGCCAGCCUGGUCUACAGAACAAGUUCCAGCAGGCAGAGCUGUUACACACACACACACACACACACACACACACACACACACACACAAAACAAAAAAUAUCAUUAGAGAUACAGUCAUCAAGGAAGACCUAAUAAUUCGUGGGUGGGGAUGGGGGUCUGGAGACACGCCUCAUCAGCUAGAGCACUGAUUGCUUGUACUAGGAGUCGCAGUCCUAGGUUCUAAUCCCAGCACUCAGAUGGUGGCUCACAACUGUCUGUAACUCCAAUUCCAAUUCCAGCGAAUCCGAUUCCCUCUUCCAGACUCUGCAGGCACCCCUUGUGCAUGUGGUGCACAGACAUGCAGGCAGGCAAAACACCAAGUCACAUAAAACAAAAUUAAAAAAAUUUAAAUCGUCUUUUUAUUUUGAUAGUCUCACAUAGGGCAGGCUUGCCUUGGACUUGCUCUGUAACGGAAGCUGCCCUGGACUCCUGAAGUCUUGGCCUUCACCUCCCAGGUGCACAGACAACAGGCGCACGCCCCUUAAACCUUCCUCUUUCUUCCUCUUUCAGAUUUGUUUCAUGUGUAUGGAUGCUUUGCCUGCACAUACAUGUGUACUGCAUGUGAGCCUGGUGCCUACAGAGGGCAGAAGAAGGAGUCAGUUCCCCUGAACUUGGAGUUACAGAUGGUUGUCACAGGGCCAGCAUGUGGGUGCUGGGAACCGAUCCCAGAUUAUUUGUAAGAGUAACGAGGCCGUUCCUUGACUUCCACAGGCUUCAGCAGCUCCUUUCUGUCUAGAGAGUGCAUUCCUUAUAUCAGACUCAGGAGGCGACACCAGAGCUCCGUGGUGUGUCUUUCUGCUAUGAAGCAGUUCUUCUCCAGAACAUACCAGCUGAGUCCUGCAGAUGCCCCCAUGUGCCUCCAGCACGUUGUGACCAGAAGCUGAGGAACGACCGAACCCAGGGCCUUGCGCUUGCUAGACAAACUCUCUACCACUGAACUAAAUCCCCAACCCCUGCCUCCAGAUUUUUUUUUUAGAUAUUAUUUAUUUAUUUUAUGUUAUGAGUACACUGUAGGUGUCUUCGGAUGCACCAGAAGAGGGCAUCAGAUCUCAUUACAGAUGGUUGUGAGCCACCAUGUGGUUGCUGGGAAUUGAACUCAGGAUCUCUGGAAGAGCAGUCAGUGCUCUUAACCACUGAGCCAUCUCUCCAGCCCCCUGCCUCCAGAUUUUUAUAGAAAAAAAAUAAUACCAUAACCAAACACAAUCGUCCCUUUACAAUACUAAAAAAAAAAAUAGUUAAGACAUGUGUCCAGAACCAGCAUCACGAAGGGUUCUAAGUAAUGAAGUUUGAGUGAGAAGGUUAGGGAGAAAACCAGAGAAAAUGAAGAUAAGACAAAAGCAAAAGCAAUGGCUGGACCAGGAGUCAUGCAUAAGCUGAUGACUGAUGCCAAGGACCUUUAUUAAGAAGGAUGGCAUCUUAUAUACUAUAUGGCAGGGAGAGGAGAUGGCCAAGGUCAGUAGAGAGCUGAGUCGGACAGUGUUGGCAAAGAGAAGACAGAAUACCUCAGACACCGCUGCCUACGGACUGACAGCCACUGCCCAGGUGGAAGAGUCGGGCCCCGAAGCCAUUUACCUUGACUCUUUUGAGGCACUAGGAUCAGUCAUAUGAGAUCAGACUGGCCAAGUUCGUUCCCUGACGAGGACACAGAACUAAAGUUCCCUUCAUCCCUUCACCAGGGCCUCUGGAGAAAUCUUGGCUCAGACUGGCUCCCUACAGAUACGAUCCCUGGCGAGGUCACUUGUGAGCCCUGCCCUUUUGCUGGUUAGGAAAUCUCAGCCAAAUAUGUACCUUCUGAACUGGGGGAACAUAUUGUUCCCAGUAAGAUUUGGGGUCUUGUUCUCACCAACCAAUGUAACUGGAAUUCACAGGUACAUACGGCUGCUGAUUCCCAGGCUGGGGCCUCGUUUGCAGGGUCAGGAAACUUAAGUCCUGCCAACUAAAGUAAUACUGGGCCUUCUGGUUCCUAAUUCAUUUUCUCUUUCGGUUCAUAUUUAUUUCCCCUGAGAUGUAUUUUACAUAAUUGGGACAAAUGAAAUCUUAAUUUAAAGCUAAGCCUUGAGAAAAAAGUUAAUUUGGUCAACAGCUAAGAAAAAUGUUUAAAAAACAAAGCAAAACAGGAGCGAGGAGAUGGUUCAGCAGUUAAGAGAAUUGGCUGCUCUCAGAGGACCUGGGCUUGGUUCCCAGCACCUACCUGGCUUCAGUCUGUAACUUCAGUUCCAGAGGAUCUUAUGCCCUCUUCCAGCCUGCAUGAUUACUGCAUCCCUUUGGUGCUCAUACAGAUAUCCAGACAAACACUUAUUACUCUAGUUAGCUUUCUGCUGUGAUAAACAACAUGGAGGGAGAAAGGGUUUACUCAGAGGUUAGUCUAUCAAUCACCAAAGCCAAGGCAGGCACUGAAGCAGAGAGAGUGCAGUUUACUGCCUAGCUCCUCCUGGUUUACUCAGUUCCCAUUCUUAUUCAGCUCUGGCCCACCAGCCCAGAGCCGGUACUGCUCACAGCGGGCUGGCCCCUCCCACGUCAAUUAACCAUCAAGAAAAUGCCCCAUAACCACCCCUGCCCUGGGAAACCCAAAGCCAAAAAGACCACAGGACAAAACUGCUAACAAAGGGAAAAGAAGGCCAAAAGGAAAGCAGGCUGAAGGAAAUUUGAGAAGAUCUGCCUACAGAAAACAGCCAGAGAAUGAGAGUCCAUCCUCUGAAGCAGGAGAGAAGCUGUGUCUAACCAUACCCGACUGAUGGUGCGCCCUGCCCCUUGAAUUCCAGAGGAGUGUUUUUAUCAACUGUCUUGUAUUGCAAGUGUUUUUAGUAGUUAUAGAGACAUUUUUAGAAAGGGAGAAAAUCCCAUUUCACCCCCACUCUGUUCUUUUAAUGUAAAAUAUUAAGGGUGAAAUGGACCAGGUAUGGCGGCGCUCACCUUUAAUCCCAGCACUCAGGAAGCAGAGGCAGGUGGAUCUUAGUUCGAGGCCAGCCUGGUCUACAGAGCAAAUUCCAGGACAGGUAGGGCUAUGACUCAGGAAAAAAUAAAAAAGUGAAAUGACUGUUUAUUUUUGGUACCAUCAGCAGGAUACUGAAUCAGGAGAGGCUGUGACUGUCAGUAGAUGUUACACAGAGGGGCCUAGUUUUAUAUCCGAUGAAAAUCUAAAGAUUUAUUUAUUUUAUUUUGUAUAUGAGUACACUGUAGCUGUCUCCAGACACACCAGAAGAGGGCAUCAGAUCUCAUUACAGAUGGUUGUGAGCCACCAUGUGGUUGCUGGGAUUUGAACUCAGGACCUCUGGAAGAGCAGUCGGUGCUCUUUUUUUUUUUUUAUUUAUUUAUUUAUUUAUUAUAUAUGAGUACACUGUAGCUGCCUUUAGACACACCAGACCAGGGCAUCAGAUCUCAUCACAGAUGGUUGUGAGCCACCAUGUGGUUGCUGGGAUUUGAACUCAGGACCUCAGGAAGAACAGUCGGUGCUCUUAACCACUGAGCCAUCUCUCCAGCCCGCAGUCGGUGCUCUUAACCACUGAGCCAUCCGAUGAAAAUCUAAAGCAUGCUAAAUGACGAUUUAGAGUCCAGUCGUGCAUCUGUGUCUGGAAUAUUUUAAGUUACCUUUGCUCUCAUGUCUCUAAUUUCCAACAAAUUCACUACAACCCUGACCUGUCAGGAUUCAUCAUGGUUCUUUUUUGCUAACAUUUUCGGUAAUGUGGGCUGAAAGAUGGAAAUUGAGUAUGUGAGUAACCGGAUGCAGCUGAAAUCAGGGAUCUGUGGUGGUACAGCUUCUGAGUGCUUGACAAUGUGACAUGAGGUCCAGCUGAGGGAACCCUGUCCUCAAGUCCACCCGACUGGAAGAACGUUGAAACAGCAGGUGGGACGUGUGAUCCGAGUUUGGUACAUGUGUUAAGAAUUAUGCAGGGCUGGAGAGGUGGCUCAGCGGUUAAGAGCACUGACUGCUCUUCCAGAGGUCCUGAGUUCAAUUCCCAGCAACCACAUGGUGGCUCACAACCACCUGUAAAGAGAUCUGAUGCCCUCUUCUGGUGUGGCUGAAGACAGCUACAGUGUACUUACAUAUAAUAAAUAAAUAAAUCUAAAAAAAAAAAAGAAUUAUGUAUGUGUGGAGGUGUCUGUGUACUUAUCUUUAACCAAUAAAGCUGAGCUGGGAAAGAGGGAAAAAGAAAGAGAAGAAAAUGCCCCGUUGUAUGGGCAUGUCUAGUUCUGUGUCAGCUUGACACAAGCUAGAGUCAUCAGAGAAGGGAAACUCAGUCGAGAGACUGUCUCAAUAAGAUUAGACAGUAGGCAACCUGUGGAACAUUUUCUUAAUUAUUGAUGUAAGGGCCCAGCCCAUUGCUGGUGCUGCCAUCUCUGGGCUGAUAGUCCUGGGUUCUAUAAGAAAGCAGGCUGAGCAAGCCACGGGAAACAAACCGGUGAGCAGCAUCCCUCUGUGGCCUCUGCAUCAGCUCCUGCCUGCAGGUUCCUGUCCUGCUUGUAUUCCUGCCCUCACAGAUUUGAUAAUGAACUGUUCUAUGGAACAGAGAGUGAAAUAAACCCUUUCCUCUCCAAGUUGCCUUUGGUCAUGAUGUUUCAUCUCAGACCCUAACUAAUACGCCUAUAAAUGUCCCCAUAGGCCAAUCAGGUAGAGGUAAUUUCUCAGUUUAGAUUCCCUCUUCCCACUCAUGUCUAGGCUUGUGUCAAGCUGCAAAAACUAAGCAGCACAAUGAUACACAUAAAAUAAAACAAAUCUUAAAAAUAUCACCAAUCACUGGCAAUUUAACUUCCAGAAUUAUCCCCAGCUAGAUCUACUUUGUGGGACAAAGCAGAUGGCUAGGCACGAUGACACACACCUUUAAUCCUAGUUCCUGGAAGACAGCUAGAUGGGUGAGUUCAAGACCAGCCUGGUCUACAAAGAGAUUUCCAGGUCAGCAAGAGCUACACAGUGAGACUGUUUAAAAUGCAGUCAGAUGCACCCUCUGUCUACACUGUUCUUCCAGACUGGUGUCACUGAUCUUAUAAACCUGGAGGCAAAAAACAACAGAGACAGAGGAGAUAAAAGGACAUUUGACAUCUUGGCCCUCGACCUAAGGUUGGGGUCAAGGACCAGGAAACACGAAGACACCUCAAAAAGGCUCCUGUAGUUCUUACAAGUCACCUGUCCUCUCCAUGAUAGGCCACGGAGACCCCAGAGGUUAGAUAUUAAACAGUCUACCUUGUGCAAAUGUACAAAGAAGGUCAGCGCAAGAAAUUAUCUUCAGUGUUUCCAAGGGGCAUCAGUAAGAACCUUACCUCUCCCAGCAGACAGCUGGGAGAAGAAAGACUAAAGGGCCUAGGGACCUUUUAAGUCAUCCCUCAGGACCCUUGGCUAACCUUAACAGUAAACAAGGAGAUAGCUACUUUUUCUAGCAAGAUGGACCAGCACAUUAAGGCACUUGCCACCAAAGUGAUGACCUGAGUUUGGUCCCUGGAACCAGUAUGGUGGAAGGAAAGAACCAACUCCUACUUACUACCAGCUGUCCCUGGAACUCCAUAGCAUACUGUUCCAGACCCAGCAAGCAGCCGAACUUGGCAACCUUGGCCACAUGGUUUUAGAGUCAAGAACAGAAGAAAGGGGUUAUGGAAUUUCCUUUGAUAGCUAAGGAAAGUCACUGAGGGUAGGUGUGUGGCAGGGGUGUCCCUUCAUGGAGGCCUAGAAAGGUAAAGGUUGUAUGAAGCUAUGAAGGUGAAGCCUGGAUUGCCACGGAGACUGCAAGAGGCUAAAGAUGCCAUUGGAUACCUGCCAAGAAAAUCUAGAUCUGGAACCAGCCCAGGAGAGAGAACUGUGUUGCAGUUAGAGCUGAAAAGAGUUGGAGAUCUGAAGAGCAUUUUGACAUCAGUAUGGAAAUUCAGAGUUUGGAAUUUGCCCAGCUGGGUUUUGGUCUUAUUUUAGUCUUAUGCUCCCUUCCCUACGUUUUGAGAGUGUAAUGUAAAUUCUGUAACAUUAUAUAUUGGAAGUAUGUUAUCUGUUUUGUUAUUUUGAUUUUACAGGGGAUUAAAGUUAAGAGAGUCCAUGAAUCUCAGGGGAGACUUUGUUUUAAAUUUAUUUAUUUUAUGUUUGUGAGUACACUGUAGCUGUCUUCAGACACACCAGAAGAGGGCAUCAGAUCUCAUUACACAUGGUUGUGAGCCACCAGGUGGUUGUUGGGAAUUGAACUCAGGACCUCUGGAAGAGCAGUCAGUGCUUUUAACUGCUGAACCAUCUCUCCAGCCCUCAGAAGAGACUUCGAACGUUGGACUUUCAAACAGUGUUGAGACUAUGAUAGACUAUGGGGAAAUGCAUUUUACAUUAUGUUAUAGUUACAAGCCUAUAGGGAAUAAGGAGUGGAAUGUGGUAGUUUGAAUAGGUAUGGCCCCAUAGGCUCAUGUGUUUGGGUGCUUGGCUCAUAGGGAGUGGCACUGUUAGGAGGCGUGGACUUGUUGGAGUAGGUGGGGCCUUGUUUGAGAAGUGGUAACUGUGGAGGCUGGCUUUGAAAUCUUAUAUAUGCUCAAGCAGGUACACAGCCUCUUCCUGCUGCCUGUGGAUCAAGAUGUAGAACUCUGCUCCUCCAGCACCAUGUCUGUCUGCAGGCCGCCAUUCUUCCCAUCAUGACGACAAUGGACUGAACCUCUGAAAACUGUAAACCAGUCCCAAUUAAAUGUUUUCUUUUAUAAGAGUUGCCUUAGGGGCUGGGGAUUUAGCUCAGUGGUAGAGCGCUUACCUAGGAAGCGCAAGGCCCUGGGUUCGGUCCCCAGCUCCGAAAAAAAGAACCCCCCCCCCCAAAAAAAAUAAGAGUUGCCUUGGUCAUGUUGUCUCCUCACUGCAAUGAAACUCUAAGACGGGAAGUAUUUGUUGUGUCCCACAGUAUGAAGACAGAGCAGCAAGUCAGGAUGGCAGGAGCUGGGGGCAGUUGGUAACAUUGAAUUUAUAGUUGCUACGAUAAACCACUAAAACUGGGGAGGGGGAAGGAUAUGACCAAAUAUGUUCUGUAAAAUAAUAAAAAUAAAAGAAAAACAGACACAUGACCAAGGCAGCUGAUGAAAGUGUUUAAUUGGACUUAGUAUUCUAGAGUCUGUGGUGGCAGAGUAAAGGCACGGUGGCGGGAACAGCUGAGAGCUCACAUCUCAAACCACAGGCAGGAGGCAGACAGAGCUAACUGGGGCUGGCGUGAGUCUGCUGAAACCUCAAAGCCCACUUCCAGUAAUCCUUCUCCUCCAACAAGGCCACGCCACCUAACCCUUCCCAAACAGUUCCUCUGUGGGGACAAAGUAUUCAAGCAUAUGAGCCUGUGGAGGACCUUCUCAUUCCAAAUACCACAUCCCACUCUUCGGCCCCCACAGGCCUGUAGCAAUAUCAUUGUGCAGAAUUUGUUUAGUCCAACUUCAAAAGUUGUUAGGGUGACUUUUUUUUUAUACUUUGUAUGAAGGUGUGUCUCUGUGUUUUUGAUGGUCCUGUACCAGUAGAGGAUUGUGGUGGUGUCAUUUCUAUGGCCAAUCACUGGGUUUUCUCUUUGCCACUGCUCUUCCUUCCUCACCUGCCCAAAGGCAGUCUAGAGAUGUAUCAGGUGUUGUCUCACUGCUGAUUGGUUCUAAUAAAGAUCUGAUGACCAAUAGCUAGGACAGGAAGUGGAGGGAAGACCUUCUGAGCAGAGGAGUGAUGCAGGGGAAGAAAUCAGAUGUGGGAGAUUAGAGAUCAGAAAGGAAGGGGACAAAUGGAUCACAGCUGAGCAGGAGGCACAGAGAUAGCCAUGUGGUGGGUCCAAGAAAGUCCUGCUAUAUCUGACGCCCAACAUAGAGUAUAAAAUCCACUAGAUCCAGGCAUUAGGCCAAAUGUUCUAGAUACAGGGACCAGACAAGAGUACCCAGGCACAGAAGUGGGAGUUAGAACACAGUUUCCUAGCGACUGCAUACUGCUCUGUGAGGUCCAGCUGGCCAGUCUUGCGAACCCGUGAGCAGUGGUGGCAGAGACAAUGAAGAAGUCAAAAGGCAGCUGUGGUGGCAGGGACUGCCAGUGGUGUCCGUGGG